GGAGCGCUGCUGCCCACCCAGCGGGGCCUGACACCUCCUAGCCCCAGACUCCCCGUGCGCUUUCGGCCCGGCCAGUCCUUUCUGAAUAUGCGAUUCCUGAGACGUUAGCGUAUGCAUUAGCGUGAUCGAUUUUCAUCUAAAGCCAUUAAAUCAGUUUUAUAGCUUCCCCAAGAACGUGGGCAACCCCCUGCUUGGAAGAUGAAAGAGAAAGUCCUCCCGCCCGAAGCCCAGGAUCGGAGUGAGGACAACAAAAUGUCUAAAUCACCUUUCCAAGGCUUCAACAAUGAAUGUAUUUUCCAAAUCAAUGUUGGAGUACAUGGUCAGAAAAGAUGUCUUUUGGACUUGUGAAAUUACUUAUAUAAAAAUUCUUACCAAGAUGGAAGCAUAAAAAACACAUUUAUUUAUAUGUUUACUAAAUCUUCUUUUAUUGAAAACAAUAAGACAACCUGAAAGCAAGUCUAUCAGAGAAAAUCUGGGACUUAUGUCUUCACUGACAAAAUAAUAAAUGAGACAAAGUGAUAGAAGACCUUUGUCAUGACACCUGUUUGCUACCAGAGCCCCAGGCCAUCGUCAUCCACUGAUGUCUCCACAUUAAUUCUGCAGAGGUCCUGGACAGUCUUCUCUGCCCUGUCUAAUGGUCAGUUAAUUCUCCUUGUAAGCACAUCAUGGCUGACCAGGUGCUGGACCGCGCAAAGAAAGGUGUCAGAGCUUUCAGCUUAAGCCUUGAUUGGGUGGUGAGUAGGUCUCCUGCAGCUAAUCAGUGGCUUUAGAAACCCUGGAGUCCUUCAGAAACCCUAAAGUUCUUCCUUCUGAUUUUUCUGGUAGACCAAAGGAAAAGGCCAACAACAAACAAUUUCUAAAUAAGAAAUUUCCACCUUAGCUAAAAGCAAAAGGCCUUUGAUACUCUAUAAGAUUGAUCAACUCACUUCAGUUGAAAUAAUGGUUUUCUGAAGUCAAGGCAUGAACAGCCUUUCCCCACUGGAUGGGAUGCUCAGAUUACCAGCCCUGGAAUGAAACAAAAGGAGAAGACUGUCUCACCCCACACUUCUCAACCAUUGGCCAUUCUGAGAUGACACCUGCAGAGCCACAGCCCCACCUGCCCGAGCACCCACGGGUGCCUUGGUCAUCCUGCACCAUGGAGCUGCUUGUCUCUCCUCUGUACUCACAAUGCUGUGUGUCCUCUCUGUUGCACCUAAAACUCUUCAUCAAGUAACCAGGCGAAGAGGUCUGUCUUCUCUUCCAGAAGCCCAAGAUCCCUUUUCCAAGGACUGUCUGGAUGCCCCUGCCUUGAAUCUGAGUUUUAUCUUCUGCAGACCUGGGCUUAAUUUGCUGCUCUGAAAAAGGACACAGGCUCUGUAGCCAGACAGAUGUGGGUUUUGAUGCCAGAGCCACCGUUUAAGUAGCUGGGGAACUUUGGGUACGUUUCUGGCCAUUGCUUUUCACAUCUUGUCACUGGGAAUGUUAUUAUUAUUUUAUCUAUUUUUUUUUUUGAGACGGAAUCUUGCUUUGUUGCCCAGGCUAGAGUGCAGUGGCUCUAUCUCAAUUCACUGCAAGCUCCGCCUCCCGGGUUCACUCCAUUCUCCUGCCUCAGCAUUCCAAGUAGCUGGGACUACAGGUGCGCACCACCACGCCCGGCUAACUUUUUGUAUUUUUAGUAGAGGCGGGUUUUCACAGUGUUAGCCAGGAUGAUCUCGAUCUCCUGACCUCCUGAUCCGCCCGCCUCGGCCUCCCAAAGUGCUGGGAUUACAGACGAGAGCCACCACGCCCAGCCAGGAAUGUUAUUAACACCUAGAUUCAUCAUUGGGAACAUUUUCAAAAAAUGUAUUAUUAUUCCUUAUUCCUUUCUCUUAGACAAUUUUUUCUUUUUAAGCUGAGAGGUGUCAAUAGGGCAACAUUUCUGAUUUAUACAUUGUUUUCUCCAUGGAGUUGCAUUUGGCAAAACUCCAGGUGCAUGGAAACACACAGGUGGGUCUUUGUGCCAUCAGGCUGGGCUGCUCAGUGGGCCCAGCUGUUAGUCCACGUGUUUGCCUGUGGGUCAACAGAACAGGAAAGGCUCCUGGAUUCUCUCUGUUGCUUUCCAUCCACCUGGACUGCUCCACCUCCUAUCCUCUCUGUCUCCUUGAUUCAACUCGAUGCUACCCUCAUUUAUCCAAGCAGAGAAAGGUGCUCCUUUCCUCUUUUAGUUUUCUCUCACCCUUCCUUCUUUUCACAUCUAUUUCUUACUGUUUCCUGCACAGUGCUUGUCUUUUCUCUGACAUUGUAUGAGCAAUUUCUUUGAUACAAUGGUAGUCUCCAAUUAUGCUACUGGGCAAGCCAGCCUAGAGGUUGUGGAACAGAAAGGCUCUCAGACCAACUUAAGUCACUCAUAUCGCAAGUUUUAUUGAAUCAGCUGAAAAUAUCCAGUACUUUCAAGGGGAAAGAUGUGAGAAAGGUUCACCCACUUAGCUUAAGGUGCAAGCAGGUGGCAGGACCACACGACCCGAUCCUCAGUGACUCAGUGUUCAUGUGACCGGUGUUCUCUUCUACAUUGACCUUCCAAGCUCAUGGGGUAGUUACUUUGGAACAAGGAGGCUCUGCAGAGAAAACUGCCUGAAGCCAAAAUGAUCUUGCUCUACCAGAGAGAUAAAGGGGCAAGUAUGCCUGGCCAAUAAAGAGCUUGCUAAACAGCCAUUGCUUUUCUCUGUGUUUCUAGACAAAGCUCAUGUGGGGAGAGAUGGGAUUAAUGUAGUUUCACCAAUGAUGGCUGAUUCAGCAAUAAUGUGCCUGUCAUAUAGAGGUGGCAUAAUACACACGUUGUAACUUGGCCUGUUCAUCUUUUUUCUGACUUUAAGUGUCAGAGGCAUGUGAACCAGAGCAACUCCAUCUUAACUCGGAGCUGGGUAAAAUGAGGCUGAGACCUACGGGGCUGCAUUCCCAGUUGGUUAAGGUAUCCUAAGUCCCAGGAUGAGACAGAAGGUCAGCAUAAAAUACAGGUCAUAAAGAUCUUGCUGAUGAAACAGGUUGCAAUACAGAAGCUGGCUAAAACCCACCAAAACCAAGAUGGCCAAGAGAGUGACCUCUGGUCUUCCUCACUGCUACAUUCCCACCAGCACCAUGACAGUUUACAAAUGCCAUGGCAACAUCAGGAAGUUAACCUUUAUGAUCUAAAAAGGGGAGGCAUGAAUAAUCCACCCCUUUUUUAGCAUAUGAUCAAGAAAUAACCAUAAAAAUGGGCAGCCAGCAGCCCUCGGGGCUGCUCUACCUAUGGAUCAGCCACGCUUGUA
ensembl:lncRNA novel transcript